UUUAAAUUUGCAAUAUCUCAACAUGUUUUCCCUGACUAAUCUACUAGAGGUUGUUCCCAAAGAGCAGACAGACUAUAUAGAGGUUGAAGCACAUUUCCAGAGGAAGACUGACUUACUAAAGCACACAGAUUGUGAAGAAGAGCUGAGCAGAGGCUCCUGGAAAUCAGAGACUGUUGAUUAACAUUGGAGCAGAUAUCUGCAAAGCACGAGUACACUCACUUAAAUAUACAUGGAAAUAAAGAUGCUGAGAUCGAAUUUUAUAAUCUUCCAAGUUUUUUUUUUUUUU